AAUCCCUUCAUUACAUCCUUUCCUCUCUUUCCCCUUGAGCAAAUCUCUAUUUUGCUGGCUGGCAAUAACAUAUUUAUUACUGCACAGGUUGCAAAAUUUGCCUUGGCUGCAAGUAAGUUGAGCACUAGGCACCAAGACACGUAUCAUAAGGGGGAGUGUGAGAUGUGGAGUGCUUAACUUAUGCAGGUGCGAUUUUUGAAUUUUUGCUUCGCUGUUGUUGUUGUUGUUUAGUUUUAAAUCAAUUAUUUGUAUUCUAUGCAUUGUGACCAACUGUGACAGCUCAUAGCUUUUAGCAAUGAAUAUUUCAUUCAUUUAUUAAAAUGUAAAUAACCGCAAAGUUCUAGUGGAGUCAAAGCUUAGUGUAAACUCUCAAAGCAACUGAAAGCCUGUUUUGCUGAAUUCUUCCCCCUUCCCAUUCCUCUUUUUCAGAAAGUUGCUCUCAUCCUGAUCAUGUUAUGCCUCACCUGGCUGGGCAAGUGCCACGGCUCCUGUGUCCGAACCGUAAAUAAAGCAGAAGUUAAAGAUGGAUCAGUCAUUCCUCCAGAUGGAUGCACUUCUCCUUUGGAUGGGACAAAACACGGAAUGGGGACUGAGUGGAAUGGAGCUAACGGCAUGAAAUGCAAAUGCAGCAGAAGCGGAGCAGAAUGCUGUGACAAUAGGUAGGAAAAAGUAAAACAUUGGCACUGGGCCUAUUCAUGCAUUGCCCACACUGGCAGGG
rnacentral:lncRNA from 1 species